UACGAAGGGGGCUAGCGUUGCUCGGAAUUACUGGGCGUAAAGGGAGCGUAGGCGGACAGUUUAGUCAGAGGUGAAAGCCCAGGGCUCAACCCUGGAAUUGCCUUGAUACUGGCUGUCUUGAGUUCGGGGAGAGGUGAGUGGAAUGCCGAGUGUAGAGGUGAAAUUCGUAGAUAUUCGGCGGAACACCAGUGGCGAAGGCGACUCAC
rnacentral:rRNA from 1 species